rfam:Trichobilharzia regenti genome assembly, scaffold: TRE_scaffold0001399
GUACUGAUGAAGAGUCUCAGACUAGGAUGAAACAGCUGUCUAGUAC